UGGUGGCUGAUUAGGAUUUCUAUCCC
rnacentral:piRNA from 1 species